AUUGAACGCUGGCGGCAGGCUUAACACAUGCAAGUCGAGCGAGCGGCGGACGGGUGAGUAAUGUCUGGGAAACUGCCUGAUGGAGGGGGAUAACUACUGGAAACGGUAGCUAAUAACGCAUACCAUCAGAUGUGCCCAGAUGGGAUUGGCGAGUAGGUGGGGUAAUGGCUAACCUGGGCGACGAUCCCUAGCUGGUCCGAGAGGAUGACCGGCCACACUGGAACGGAGACACGGUCCGACCUCCUACGGGAGGCAGCAGUGGGGAAUAUUCGCCAAUGGGCGCAAGCCUGAUGCAGCCAUGCCGCGUGUAUGAAGAGGGCCUUCGGGUUGUAAAGUACGUUCAGCGGGGAGGCGUUACCCGCAGAGGAAGCACCGGCUAACUCCGUGCCAGCAGCCGCGGUAAUUC
rnacentral:rRNA from 1 species